rnacentral:rRNA from 1 species
CUACGGGAUGCACCAGUGGGGAAUAUUGGACAAUGGGGGCAACCCUGAUCCAGCAAUGCCGCGUGUGUGAAGAAGGCCUGCGGGUUGUAAAGCACUUUCAAUAGGGAGGAAAAGCUUUGGGUUAAUACCCCGAAGUCUUGACGUUACCUUUAGAAGAAGCACCGGCUAACUCUGUGCCAGCCGCCGCGGUAAUACAGAGGGUGCGAGCGUUAAUCGGAAUUACUGGGCGUAAAGCGCGCGUAGGCGGUUUGAUAAGUCAGAUGUGAAAGCCCCGGGCUUAACCUGGGAACUGCAUUUGAUACUGUCAAACUAGAGUAUGGUAGAGGGUAGUAGAAUUCCUGGUGUAGCGGUGAAAUGCGUAGAUAUCAGGAGGAAUACCAGUGGCGAAGGCGGCUACCUGGACCAAUACUGACGCUGAGGUGCGAAAGCGUGGGGAGCAAACAGGAUUAGAUACCCCAGUAGUC